rnacentral:rRNA from 1 species
GACGAACCGUGCGAACGUUAUUCGGAAUCACUGGGCUUAAAGCGCGUGUAGGCGGGACGGCACGUCGGUCGCUGAAAGCCCCCGGCUCAACCGGGGAACGGGCGCCGAUACGACCGUCCUGGAGGGACGUAGGGGGACCUGGAACAUCCGGUGGAGCGGUGAAAUGCGUUGAGAUCGGAUGGAACGCCCGUGGCGAAAGCGAGGUCCUGGACGCUUACUGACGCUGAGACGCGAAAGCCAGGGGAGCGAACGGG